CUGAAACCUCGAGAGUGAAAACCUCGUGGGCCUGUGCCCCACUGGAAUCUCUCCCUUUAUUCCAAUAAAGUUGCAGGACUCCGCUGUCUCCUUUUUGGACAUAAACCUCUGGCAUUUGUGGAUUUUCCUGACACUUCAGUCCCAGUUUCAUGGCAUCCAGAUUUCAAAGCCAUGAAUUCGACAGCUUUAAAUUUACUAUUAAAUUAGCUUUAAUACUUUAAAGUUGUUGACCCGCUUAACUGAUUUUCCAGCUUUCCUCUGUGACUUUCUGAAAGCCAGCUUAACUGGCUUUAACAUACCUUUAAACAGAAGAUUAAUGGAUCUCAUGAUUAAAUUCAACUUGGAACCACUCAGUGACAAAAUCAAACAGGAAAUCUAAGAGAAUUUUAAGUAUGUGUAAAAUUGGCAUCCACCAUUAUACUCAUGAGUCAAAAAAACAGGGUGGAGUUACAAGUGUCUAAAAAUUUUAUGACAGACUUCAAAUUAUUUAAAACUUUUUGUGGCUUUACAGAGAUAUUGUAUUUCCUGAUGAACUUGGGGUGCUUUUAUUCCAGUUGAAGCAGGAUUGAGCAAUCAAUUUGAAAACUUCAAGCAAGAUUAGACUUAAAAAACAGAGCCCAGGAAGAAACCAGCAUUUUCUGGGAACUGAAAUACUGAGUUUUAGAUAGCAGUAGUACAGAAGAGAAAAACCACCGGCAGACUGGACGCUGCUCAGGCUGCUUUUCACGUGUGUUCCCAGAGCACGCAGCCUCUGAUAGCCAGCGUUCGGUCCUGCGUGCCCAGCCUCAGCAAAAUUAAGCACCAAAACUCUGCUGGGCUCUCUAGUGGAACAGUGCUCAAUCUGUCUUUUGGAAAAUCCAGCCCUCAAGGUAAUACAAGAAAAUAUUCUUCAAACUGGUAACAAGCACCAAAACCUGGAUGCAUGUGAGGAACCAAUUCACUUUUAUUUAUGCCUCAACAGAGACUGCCGCCAUUUUAGGGCCUUGAAGCAGACAGCGCCCUCAGAAAAUGGCGGGAAGCUCUGGCCCCGGGGGAUUUCCUCUGGCAGUACACCUCACCAUUGUCCAGGAUAA
rnacentral:lncRNA from 1 species